GUAGUGGUUAGUGGUGGCUGAGUUGUAGUUUCAGUUGUGGUAGAAGGUGUUGUGGUUGUACUAGUAGUCGUAGGUGGCUGAGUUGUAGUCGGAGUCUCAGGUGUGGUAGAAGGUGUUGUGGAAGUGGUAGUUGAAGGUGUUGGACAUGCACAGCAUUUGAAUUUAAUCUCAUAAUCAAAACACUCUUGCUGAAGUCCUUGUUGUUUGUUGUUGCAAAUGAGACCCACAUCUUUAUUGCAGGUCACAUCUUGUCCCACCUGUGACAUGGAAAGAUCUGGGAAAUUAAUUGCUCUACACUGGACUUCUUCUGGAGCUCUGCAACCAUAACCAGCAGCGAUUAUUUUCUGGAUGGAUUCAUCUUCACCACCAUUAGGGCCUGGUGUGGGCUUUCCCAGACUGAUCCAGUUUGACCAACCACAUGUCAUAUCAUGUCCCCCAGGGCAAGGUGUGGUUGUCGGUGGCUGAGUUGUUGUUGUAGUUAUAGUUGUGGUAGGUGUAGUGGUUGUCGGUGGCUGAGUUGUCGUAGUUACAGUUGUGGUAGGUGUAGUGGUUGUCGGUGGCUGAGUUGUAGUAGUUAUAGUCGUGGUAGGUGUAGUGGUUGUCGGUGGCUGAGUUGUCGUAGUUACAGUUGUGGUAGGUGUAGUGGUUGUCGGUGGCUGAGUUGUAGUAGUUAUAGUCGUGGUAGGUGUAGUGGUUGUCGGUGGCUGAGUUGUCGUAGUUACAGUUGUGGUAGGUGUAGUGGUUGUCGGUGGCUGAGUUGUAGUAGUUACAGUUGUGGUAGGUGUAGUGGUUGUUGGUGGCUGAGUUGUUGUUGUAGUUACAG